UGAGCCAUCUAUUUCCUCAAGAAUCUGCCCUUCAGGGUACUCCCUCCCCUCCUCCCGGCCUCAUCUUUCAGAAGAGUGAGUUGUGUUUCCGGGUGGAAGAUAAGGCCUUGGACCGUGCCGUACUAUUUAAUCUGCAAGUUUAUUUUUCACCCAGCUCCACACACAGGGCUGCCUUCGCAGCUGGGUCACAAAGCCUUCUGCGGUGUUUGGCGUGCUGCUACUUCGGGUACGAAGCCUGGGAAGUCAACCUGAGGAAGAACACAGCUCACACUGUGGGUUUCUCCUCCAAAGCCAGACCACACAGGCGCAAGGACUUGACCUCCCGAACACAGCCAGCAAAAUUCCCAGCACGGAAGCCAGUAAGCCGUCUGCAGACCAGCGAGCCCUGAAGCAACUCCAGAAAGUUCCCGAUGUGCCUGCUGCUGACUCACGCAGCUACAAGAGGGGAAAAAUGAAAAAGCCCAAGUGUCCUCUUGCAGAAGACAUGUGCAUCAGAAUGGGAAAAGAGAGCCCGGCGUUACUGGCAAACCCCUUGUCAGCAGGGAGGCAGCCUGGUGGGCACGGCCAGCUCUGCUACAGGCUCGUCUGCUUGUUUAACUUCUCUUGGCCUCAAUUUUCCCUUUUAUUUUUUUAAAUUUCUUCCUUCCUUCCUUCCUUCCUUCCUUCCUUCCUUCCUUCCUUCCUUCCUUCCUCCCUCCCUCCCUCCCUCCCUUCCUUCCUUUCUUAGACACAAACACCGAGAGAGAGAGGAAUGGGCCGUCCGUUGGUUCAUUCACUCGAUGGAUGGGCUGGCUGGGGGGGGGCCGGGCGGA
rnacentral:lncRNA from 1 species